AGUUAACACACUGUACUUGAACAGUCAUGUUUCCGUUUACCAGAAACGGUCUGAAAGCACUCCGGGUACUCUACCAUUUUGCAUGCUGAAUGUUUCUGGCCUGGAUGCCGUCCGGGUAUUUUUUAUCAACGUCAUAUUUUUGGAAGUGAAUGUCUUGG